AUUGAACGCUGGCGGCAGGCCUAACACAUGCAAGUCGAACGGUAACAGGAAGCAGCUUGCUGCUUUGCUGACGAGUGGCGGACGGGUGAGUAAUGUCUGGGAAACUGCCNGAUGGAGGGGGAUAACUACUGGAAACGGUAGCUAAUACCGCAUAACGUCGCAAGACCAAAGAGGGGGACCUUAGGGCCUCUUGCCAUCGGAUGUGCCCAGAUGGGAUUAGCUAGUAGGUGGGGUAACGGCUCACCUAGGCGACGAUCCCUAGCUGGUCUGAGAGGAUGACCAGCCACACUGGAACUGAGACACGGUCCAGACUCCUACGGGAGGCAGCAGUGGGGAAUAUUGCACAAUGGGCGCAAGCCUGAUGCAGCCAUGCCGCGUGUAUGAAGAAGGCCUUCGGGUUGUAAAGUACUUUCAGCGGGGAGGAAGGGAGUAAAGUUAAUACCUUUGCUCAUUCACGUUACCCGCAGAAGAAGCACCGGCUAACUCCGUGCCAGCAGCCGCGGUAAUACGGAGGGUGCAAGCGUAAAUCGGAAUUACUGGGCGUAAAGCGCACGCAGGCGGUUUGUUAAGUCAGAUGUGAAAUCCCCGGGCUCAACCUGGGAACUGCAUCUGAUACUGGCAAGCUUGAGUCUCGUAGAGGGGGGNAGAAUUCCAGGUGUAGCGGUGAAAUGCGUAGAGAUCUGGAGGAAUACCGGUGGCGAAGGCGGCCCCCUGGACGAAGACUGACGCUCAGGUGCGAAAGCGUGGGGAGCAAACAGGAUUAGAUACCCUGGUAGUCCACGCCGUAAACGAUGUCGACUUGGAGGUUGUGCCCUUGAGGCGUGGCUUCCGGAGCUAACGCGUUAAGUCGACCGCCUGGGGAGUACGGCCGCAAGGUUAAAACUCAAAUGAAUUGACGGGGGCCCGCACAAGCGGUGGAGCAUGUGGUUUAAUUCGAUGCAACGCGAAGAACCUUACCUGGUCUUGACAUCCACGGAAGU
rnacentral:rRNA from 1 species